rnacentral:lncRNA from 1 species
AAUAAUUCAGUUAUUUUAUCUUUACAGGAUUAAAUAUAGCAGGCAGGAAUACAGUAUGAACUCCUUCCAGCACAGCUCAGUUCUCCUGUAAAUGUAAUAUGCAAUGGAACCAAAGCUUCCCUCCUGCAUUGGGGUAACUUACAAAACAGGGGAGAUGCCCUCUCAGCCUGUAAUGGAGGUGAGAAGUCUUGCCCUGCACCCUCUCCCCCGCUUCCUGCAGUGUCAGUCCGAGCUCUGCUGAAGGGGCGUCAGCCCCUCCCAAGGUAUAGGAAGACAGUUCAGGCAGACAGAAGGUGAAUGCCAGUCAAACUUAUCAUGAGUGCUGGGAGGCUACACAAGUAUUUUUGUGUGUGUUCACUGGGCACUGAUGGUAAUUAGCUUUGCUUGAAAGUCAUCCCUCUUACUCUUGCCAGCAGCUUCUACUUGGUAAUUUUUAGGGUGGAAGAACUAAUGAAAAUAUUCAGGGUGUCAAGAAAACUACUUUCACAGACUGGAAGACAGUUUUCAAUAUUUUUAGGAUAGUUGCCUUGUCUAAUGGAUGAGGAGUCAGCUUGGGCAGGUCUCCGCCUGCCCCACUGGAAGGUGUGGCUUGGCCUCUGGUCCUGGUGUGUGCAGUCAGGAUUCUGGGGGCAGCCGCAGUG